UUGGUUGACAAUAGAUGGCAGGAGCGGAAGCUAGUGAGAAGAAACACUUAGAAGAACACUGCAAUAAUCCAAGUAUGGGUGUUAGACCAGCAUUGUAGCAGGAGAUAUGAUGAAAAGACAUUGUAUAUCAGUUAAAUUCUGAAGGUAUCACUAGUAGGAUUUUCUACAGUAUUAGAUAUGGAAGAUAACAGAAUGAAAUAAAUGAAGAUUGACUGCUUGGUUUAUGGCCUGGACAAUUCGAAGGAUAGAGCUGACAUUAACUGAGAUGGGGCAAGUUGAGAAACGACAGGAGUGAAAAUUAGUAGCUAAAAUUUGGACAUGUUACUUUUGACAUGUUUAUUCCAGCAGAAAUUUAGAAUAGUUGGAUAUAUGUUUGGAUUAUUAGAUAGAGGUGAAAGUGGGAGGCAUAAAAUCAGAAAAUUUCAAUCUAUAUCUUAGAUACAGGUAUAGAUAUAGACGUGUAUAGUAACAUGGAAAAUUGCUAAGAAUACCGAGGACCUGAAUUUAACUAGAAAAGAAAAAAGCCUGGACAACUCUAAAAUAGAGAGCAAGAAAAGAAGAGAAAGAACCAAUAAAGAAGACUGGGUGAAGUUAAAGAGCAAUCAACAGAAUAAAGAAUCCUGGAGGCUAAUUAUGAUACUUGUGCCAAACUGAAAGGAAUGAUCAAUAUCCGCCACUGACUAAGAGAUGGAGUCUUCCUAUGUUGCCCAGGCUGGUCUUGAACUCUUGGCUUCAAGCGAUUCUCUCAUCUCUGCCUCCCAAAAUGCUGUGAUUACAGACAUGAGCCACUGGUCUCACCCAGGUUAGUGUGCAGUGGUGCGAUCUUGGCUGACGGCAACUUCUGCUUCCCAGGCUUAAGCAAUCCUCCCACCUCAGCCUCCCGAAGAGCCCAGACCACAGGCGCAGGACACCACACCAGGCUAAUUUUGUGUAUUUUUGUGUAAAGAUGAGGUUUUGCCAUGUUGCACAGGCUGGUCUUGAACUCCUGAGCUCAAGUAGCCUUCUAAUUUUUAUGCAUAUUUGAUUUCUCCAUAUAUUGCUUCCUUUUAUGUUUCUAGCAUUUUUUAAUUGUUGAACAUCUUAUUAUGCAUACUGGCCACUUGGAUAUCAUCUUUUGUGAAUUAUCUAUUAAGUCUUUUUGCUUUAAUUUAUAUUGUCUCUUAUG